AUUGUUAUUUCCCCCGCGCUUCAGACUUUAUUGUUGCCUGCAACGGGUAGAAGGGAUUCACGUUUAGAAGGUCAAAGGGUUCGGGUGCCUCAGACUUCUUCUUCUGGGGGAUCUGCACACCCUUUUUGUGCUUGAUCCUUAGAUUCCAGUAUACCCUUUCCCCCCAAAACUGGAAUUGGGAGCGGGAUUGUAGGCAGUUGACGCUCUUAAGCAGGCCAAAGCCACUUCCAUUAAUUGAGGCAGGGAGUGAGGUCCUAAAGGAGUCGGUUCUACAACUCUCUUGGAUGGUCCUUGCUCAAUUGGAAAGGAUGGGGGAUGCCUGAUUCUUUUUAUCAUCAGGGCGCGCCUCGAGGCCGUGCUCGGGAACCAAUGGGCACAUGGGAUUGUUGAGGGGAGAAGAGAAGGGUACUCGGUGCUAAUGUCUUGAAGUACCAUAUGGUCAUUGGUUUUGGUGGAACAAGUGGAUUGAAGGGGGGAGAAGGUGCACACCACUGGCCUUUACCUUUAGAGCUCAGGAUAGUCAGGGGAUCGGGCUUCUGUGCACAACUUGCGAAGGGCUCUCGGGUGACUUAGGGUAGACCGGGGCUCAGGCAGAAAGCUCGGCUUUGGAAAUGCCGAUCUUACGAGCUGGUGCGCGUGAUGAAGUGGCCUUGUGACCACUACUCACAGGGUGUACAGGCAUGUGCAAGUGGGGUUGACGAGAAGGUCGUUGCCCGUGUGCUUGCUGGGGUGUGGCUUUUGAGUCGUCUGAAGCAGAGUGAUGAAGAUGCAUCAUGCUUGAUGGAGCGACCUUCGAGUUGCCCUUGCUUGUGGGGCCAGGUCCAAGGAGACCUAACGUGUGAUGGUGGACUGGGAUAGCUUUGGGGUGCCCCAAGAUGUGGUCCCAGCAGAUGAACCACUAGUCUUUGUAAGUGGGUGAUAGGGAGUAGCUUUAAAGCCUCUUUUUUUGUAUCAACUGGCAGGAAGAUUGGCGGUUCGGAGUGAUUGAAAGUGGGGGGUGGCUUUAUGGCGACCCACAAAGGCAAUGGAGGUUAAUUUUCCAAUUGCGGAAGAGCAAGGGGUGACCUUGCCCCGAGUAGCAAGACCUGCAAGUGACUUGCCGGUUGUGGAUGAAUGCAACGAGAGAAACAAUACAAAGUGGUGAUUAAAUUCGCAUCGCAGUUAAGUAUGUAUCGCCUGGAGCAGUUCCUGAGUGGUGACCAAACAGAGCUUCCACAAGAUGUGUUACAAGCGCUCGAUGUUGUGCUGUGUGAGUCACCUUCAAGGAGGUUUUCUUCUGUCGGCCGUUCGUUUCUCUCUGGGACAUUUGGUUGAAAAUUGUUAACAGAGGGAUUGGAAGCUGUGAAGGGUUUCUUCCAGAGCACCAAACCAACACAAUCUGGUUUAGCAUUAAAUAUUGACAUGUCAGUCACAACAACAAGAAGUGAUAACUCAUGUUGCGGAUAUUUUACGCAAGGAUUUGAGGAGGCCUUUGGUUGAUGCAGAUCUUGUGAAGGUGAAGACAGCUUUAAAGGGCCUCAGAAUUGAGGUCACGCAUCGGGAAAAUAUGCGGAGGAAGUAUCGCAUAGUAGUUUUACUAUGGAGAGAAAUGCAACAUCAAAGAGGAUUGCUGUGUACGGUUACUUUCAUGAAGUUUAUAAUAUGAAAUUGGUGUAUCCACUCUUGCCUUGUCUCCAAGUUGGAAGCCUUGAGAGGCCGAGUUACAUUCCAAUGGAGGUCUGCAAAAUUGUGAAGGGUCAGCGAUAUUUGAAGUCUCUAAACCACAGAGAUGCUGACUUUCACCUGUCAAGACCCUCGUAAUAGGGAAAGGGACAUCCUGAAGGCUGUUGUGGAAAAUAAGUACAAUACGACUCCUCAUGUGAAUGAAUUUGGAAUAGAAGUCAGCGAAACAUUAGCCCCUGUUAACGCUAGACUUUUAGCUUGUCCAAAGGUACGUCAUUAGCUUGUUCAAAGGUACAUCAUUAAUAUAUUGUUAGUGUCAAAGUUUUGAUUUGUUUCUAAAGUUUUCUUGACAUGGUUGUUAUGUCUAAUUGAAUGCAGCUUAAGUAUAGUAAUGACAAGGGAAGAGAAAUAUCUUAUACCCCUGAAUUGGGAUAUUAGAAUAUGAGAGAUAAGGUACUCGCAAGGUUGUUGUGAAUGAUUCUUUCACUCGGUUGUACCUUGCCUAUAGAAGCAUUAUACUGAUUGUGUGAUUUUCUAGUGCUCAUCCAUGACUAGUCUUAUCAUUGUUGUUGGUUUUGUUGUCUUAGUGAACACCAUAUUCACUUGGUCACUGACGCAAACACAAAAACAUGAAAAUUUAUGCAUGGUACUUUCAAAUUAUUAUUUAUAAGCAUGUCUUAAUUCUGUAAUUUGUGUGUUUGUUUUGGGUUGCUUAUACUAAUCUCUCAUUUUCAGCCACCCUCAAAACUCAACUCUGGUUUUAGAUAACCCUCACAACUCUGGUUUUAGAUAUUUGUGGUAUUUUACUUUUCCAUUUAUGCAUGGUACUUUCGAAUGAUUAUUUAUAAACAUGUCUUAAAUCUGUAACUUGUGUGUUUAUGUUGGGUCUGCUUAUGCACUAAAUUUGAUUAUUUAUAAACAUGUCUUAAUUUUAUAAUUUGUGUGUUUGUGUUAGGUCUGCUUAUGCACGACUUUGUGCAUUUUCAGCUACCCUGUCAAGUCUAGUUUUAGAUAUUUGUGGUGUUUUACUUUUCCAUUUAUUUGUCUUCCCUAUAUUAAUUUACAAAUUGUCCCAUUUCUUUUGAAACAGAGAUUUCUGAAUGGGGGCCGUUUGAACAAUUGGACUUAUGUGAAUUUUGCAUCAAGUGACAUCUCUGCAGUAGCUGCAAUGACCUUUUUAUCAAUAACUUUUUGGAGUUUGUACAACAUUGGGGAUGGCAUGCAAUUUGAAUCCCACAUUGAGGAUUCGUGAGGCUCAAUCAGAUAGGUUGGACCAAGUACUAAAUGGUAUUCAGACAGAAUUGACUACCUCUGGAAAGACAUUGGACCUUUUAUUUGUUAUUCUACCUGACAACAAUGGGCCUUUAUAUGGGGAUUUGAAGUGCAAGUGUGAAACUAAAUAUGGAUGGGUAUCCCAAUGCUGUCUAAGAAAAACUAUCAUGGAACCCAAACCAUAACUCUUAGGAAAUUUGGCACUUAAAGUCAACGUAAAGGUGGUUGCUUCUCGAGACUGGCCUCGGGCCAUGCAGUACGCAGCAAUCAUUAGUGGUCAAGGACACAGAGGAAAUUAUCGAAGCCUUGUACACAGAGACACAUGAUCCUCAGCAUGGUUCCCAGGCUGGCGGCAUGAUAAGGCAAUGCUAUGUUGAGUGUGUUUCUUGAUCAAAGCGUGGCAGCUCUCUCUCUUUCUUUAGAUCUCACUCAAUCGUAUUUUUUAACUGGGAACAUCUAUUGUCAUUGAAAGCUGCGACAAAUAGAGAGCUUGCCCAUAUCUUAUUUUUCAGGAUGGCAUGAGCAAGAGGAGACACUAAACUGGCAAAAAUUAACCAUUCUUCUCUAGUUAAGCUUGCAAGUCCCUUGGAGCAAACUAUGAGCCGCGUAUUACAUUUGUAGUGGUGCAGAAGCGACAUCACACUAAGUCCUUCCGUGAGACUUAUGGGGAUGACAAAACUUCUGAUAAGAAAGGAAAUCUAUUACCUGGAAACUGCCCACACAAAUGGAUGAUUUGGAUGUCCGUUUGGUAAGAGACAUGGCCAUUUUGCAGGACACGUGUCUGCACAAAUGAGCACACAUGUUUAUGAUUUGGACAAGCCUGUCUUUGAUUUGGACCCACAUGUUUUAUUGCAUUAAGGUGAUAUUGUAUUAAGGUAUGUUCGCUGCAACGGUUCUGUCUCAAUAGUUCCAGCUGCAUAUUAUGCUGAUCUUGCUGCAUUUCGUGGUCGCCACUGCCGUGAUCAUGUGGAGAGAUCAGAGGGUGGCCUGGGAGGCUGGGGAAGUGUUCCCAUUCGAGUCAUGCCAUCUGUGAAAGACAGGGUAAAGAGGUUCAUGUUCUAUUAUUGAUGCCGCGUGGUUGAGACAUUAGACCUACAAAUAGGAGUCCAGAUUUGGGCUUUCAAACCUAGUGAGCUUAUGAAUAUGUGCAUGGGGAAGUGGUGCUUGUUUUCUUUUAUUAAUUGGGCUGUCUAAGACCCAUACGCUAAAUAUUAGCAAACUUUAUGAUUGUACGUGCUUAAGAACCAGGUGAUGUUAGCUUUUUUUUCAUUUCCUUAUCUCUCUCCCUCUCCCUCUCUCUCUCUCUCUCAUGGACUGGUGAUGAUGCAAGUCUGUAUUUUAUUUAGCAUUUAUCUGAUUCACAAGCUUGUUACUAUGGUGCUCAAUGUGGAUUUAGGAUUGAUCUGAUGUAUUUAUUUAGGAUUUAUCUGAUUCACAAGCUUUCUUA